rnacentral:rRNA from 1 species
AUGGUUGUCGUCAGCUCGUGUCGUGAGAUGUUGGGUUAAGUCCCGCAACGAGCGCAACCCCUAUUGUUAGUUGCCAUCAUUCAGUUGGGCACUCUAGCGAGACUGCCGGUAAUAAACCGGAGGAAGGUGGGGAUGACGUCAAAUCAUCAUGCCCCUUAUGACCUGGGCUACACACGUGCUACAAUGGUUGGUACAACGAGUUGCGAGUCGGUGACGGCAAGCUAAUCUCUUAAAGCCAAUCUCAGUUCGGAUUGUAGGCUGCAACUCGCCUACAUGAAGUCGGAAUCGCUAGUAAUCGCGGAUCAGCACGCCGCGGUGAAUACGUUCCCGGGCCUU